AUAGCCGUUAAACCAACGAACUUUAAAUUUUUUUGAAAGAGAGUGAGAUGAAAGCAGCAAAGGUCGCCAAAAACCAUCCCAACAACAAAGCAGACGGAGCUGCCUCUCUGCUCAAAUCCUGCACUUCGCUCUGCCACCUCAAACAAAUCCACGCCCACAUCUUCCGAUCAAACCUCCACCAGAACGCCUCCUUAGCCUCCACUCUCAUCUCUUUCUACGCCUCUCUCUCCGCCUCGCCUCGCUACACCCACCUCGUCUUCACCUCUUUCCCCAAGCCAAAUCUAUCUCUCUUCAACCACGCCGUCAGGGCUUUCUCUAAGAUCUCCGUGCUCUGUUUCGAGGCGGUGAGUUUGUAUUCGCAGAUGGUUUCUGUUGGAAUUAGACCUGAUAACUAUACGUACCCUUUUGUGCUGAAUUCUUGCGCUGCGUUGAGUGAUAUUUGUGGUGGGACUGAAGUCCAUGGACGCAUUGUGAAAAUGGGUUUUGGGUUUUGUCUUCCAGUUUCGAAUGCUUUGAUUGAUAUGUAUGGGAAAUGUGGGGAGGUGGGGAGGGCGCGGAAGCUGUUUGAUGAAAUGUGUGAGAGAGAUGUUGUUUCUUACAAUGCGGUUUUGGGGGCUCAUGCAAGAGGCGGGGUUGAUAUGGGGAGUGCUUUGGUUUUGUUUGAGGGGAUGCUGGGGAAAAAUGUGAUAUCUUGGAACGCCAUGGUCGUGGGUUAUGUAAAUAGUGGGGAUCUGGUUUCGGCAAGGGCUGUGUUUGAUAGGAUGCCUGACAGGAAUGCUGUUUCUUGGAGUACAAUGUUGGUGGGGUAUACGAAAAGCGGUUUUAUGGAUCAGGCUAAGGCCCUCUUUGAUGAAAUGCCUGAGCGGGGAUUGAUUUGCUGGACGGCUAUGAUUUCAGGGUAUUCCCAAUAUGGGAGGCCAAGCAAAGCACUUUCACUUUUCCGGAGAAUGGAAAAGGCACGAGUAAAGCCAGAUGCUUUCACCAUGACAGCUGUGAUCUCUGCAUUGGCACAGUUGGGUCGUGCAGAUCUGGCAAACUGGAUUGGAGCAUAUGUGGAUAGAGAAGGCAUAGAACAGAAUGAACAAGUGCUUACUGCACUAGUUGACAUGCAUGCCAAAUGUGGGAAUAUGGAAGAGGCAUGCACCAUAUUUGAAAAGAUUCCCCUAAAGGAUGUUUUCUCUUACAGUGCAAUAAUCACAGGUCUUGCUUCAAAUGGUCAUGGGGUCAAAGCGCUCAAGAUCUUCCAGAGAAUGCUGGCACAAAAUAUUGAACCCGAUCGCAUCACAUUUAUUGGGGUAUUCACUGCCUGUUGCCAUGCAGGACUCGUUGAAGAUGGAAUGGGGUACUGGGAAAGCAUGGUUAAAGAUUACAACAUUGAGCCCGAUGCUGAUCACUAUACUUGCACAGUUGAUAUGCUGGGACGCGCUGGGAAACUCAAUGAGGCCAGCGAUGUGGUCAAGGGAAUGCCUAUGGGGCCACAGCCAGGAGCACUAGGAGCCCUUCUUGCAGCAUGUAGAACAUAUGGAAAUGUCGAGAUUGCAGAAAGUGUUGCUGAGCAACUCUUCAUUUUAGAACCUGGGAAUACUGGAAAUUAUACGCUACUUUCAAGUAUCUAUGCGUCAAAAGAACUAUGGGAUGAAGCCAGAAAGGUGCGGGAAGCAAUGAACGGGAGAAAUGCACUUAAGCUUCCUGGGUGCAGUUGGGUUGAAAUUAGCAAAGGUCAUGCAGCUCAAAUGAAAAACCAAACUGAGACAGCAAUUCAAUGCUUGAGAUGAUCGUCAAUCCCCAGGUCCAAGUUGCAUGCAAGAAUUUGAAAGCAACCAACCAAUAAAUGAACCGCGUGCUGCCAGAUUUUGUUCUCCUCGGCCCUGCUUAAGCUUCCAUUUCUCAAUCCAUUAAAUCCUCAGUUGAUUGGAAGCAAAUACUCUAACUUAUGAGCGCCCUAUGUGGUCCCUUGUCACCUUAUCUCACGGCCAACCCUGCUUAAAUAUAGUAACCAAGGGCAGAUACCAAGCCUUGAUGAAAGCCAUGCUUGGGAACAAGAAAGUUAGAGGAACGAAUGAAGGCGAUCCAAACAAGUUCAUAAAGCCCCCCAUGAAAGGAAUAGCUGCUGUCACGAAUGUAUUCGCUAUGAAGAAGAGCGCUAGCAGGCAGAACCUUCGCUUCAAAUGUUAGAUCUCAAAAGCAAGGUAAGCACAAACUUCUCAACUACAAUACGCAGAUAAAGACACUUGGAUUAUAAGGGAUGUCUACGUAUUACUGCAGUAUGUAUACCGGAGACCCUGUCCAGAUCCACACGUGCAAAGACA